rnacentral:rRNA from 1 species
CAUUAUUGUUCGUUUGUUUCCGUUAAUGGGGACCUGCGGAACGAUCAUU